rnacentral:misc_RNA from 1 species
UUAAGUUUCACUUUAUCUCGGUCUGUGUCACUACGUGCGUCUCGGCGAAGUGGUGAAACGUAUACUAAAGAUUUAAUGUACCAUUUAAUAAAAUUUAUCUUUUAAUUAAGCAUUUUGUACAUAUUAAGAAGAAAAGUUCAUUUUUAAUCAAGUUAUAGAAUUGGUAUGCAAAUGCAAGCAAUGAAUCAUUACGGAAACAGAGGAUUUGGAGGGCCACCUCAACCUCAGAGACAGGGUGGACGACGUGGUAAUAAUAGAGGCGGCUUUCGAAACAACUCGAGGUUUGAACAUAAUCAAAGAAAUCACAAUCAGCAAGGAGGUCAACGUCCGAAUAAUGAGCCACCUAAACCGGUUCAACAAGAUAAACCACAACAACCCCCACCUGCACAAACUCCAAAGGAAAAGGAGAUUGUACCGCAACCAAACCAACAAGUACAGCCACCACAACAGAAGCAACAGCAAACACAACAACAACAACAACCGCAAAAACAACAACAACAGAACAAGCCACAGCCCCAGCAACCACAACAACAGCAACAACCACCAAAACCAAUGCAAACUAAUACAUUGAAUCAAGAUUCUAAAGAUAAUGUGGAUAAGAGUAUAACAAAUGAGCCAAAGAACCAAAAUAAUCAACAACCAUUCCAAAAGAAUGUCAAUGGGAACUUUGGUGGCCCAAAUAAGCAAGGUGGUACCUGGAGCCAAGGUAAUCCUGCAAACAAAAUGGGUGGUAACUUUGGUAAUCGAGGCCCAAGAGACUUUGGACCAAAGGGACCAGGUGGCCCAGGAGGUCCUGGAAUGGGAGGGCCAGGCCAUCAAGGGGGGCCAGGGCCUAUGCGUAACCAACAGAGGAAUAACAGCCGGGUUGGUCAACAUGAUGGGGGCAAAACAGUGCAAAGAGAGUUUGUCCAGGAACAAAUGUUAGCCAACAAAUUGAAAGAACUAAUGGGCCCAUUGACUGAUUUGCCAACAAUUGAACAAACUGAGGUCAAAUUUAAUGGAAGGAGUAGAUUAUACAUUGGUAAUCUUAGCAAUGAUGUAUCAGAAGAAGAGAUACUGAAUAUGUUCGGACAAUUUGGAGAAACGGCUGAAUUAUUUAUUAACAAAGAUAAAAACUUUGGAUUUAUUAAAAUGGACUACAGAGUUAAUGCAGAGAAAGCCAAGCGGGAAUUAGAUGGUAAAAUGAAGAAUGGCAGAGCGAUGCGCGUUAGGUUUGCGCCUCAUAACAGUGCGGUCCGCGUAAAGAAUUUACCGCCGUUUGUUUCUAAUGAACUUCUGUAUAAGGCAUUUGAAAUUUUCGGCAAAAUUGAAAGAGCGUUCGUGAGAGUAGAUGAAAGAGGAAAGACAUUAGGAGAAGGCAUUGUAGAGUUUGCGCGUAAACCCAGUGCAUUGGCGGCAAUUAGGAAUUGCUCUGAGAAGUGCUUCUUCCUCACGUCGUCGCUACGCCCAGUUAUUGUAGAAAAUUUAGAAGAGCCAGAUGAAUUUGAUGGUUACCCAGAAAAGAAUAUUCCCAAGAAGCACCCAGAAUUCUUAAAAGCGCGUGAGAUGGGCCCACGAUUUUCUGAAGCGGGCAGUUUUGAGCAUGAGUAUGGUACAAGAUGGAAGCAGUUACAUGAGCUUCACAAACAAAAAGAAGAGGCUCUUAAAAAAGAAUUGGCUGCAGAGGAGGAGAAGCUUGAAGCACAAAUGGAAUAUGCUAAGUACGAGCACGAGACGGAGCUGCUGCGCGAGCAGCUGCGCGCGCGCGAGCAGGACCGCGAGCGGCAGAAGCGCAGCUGGGAGAUGGCGGAGCGCGCGGCGGACGAGCGGCGCGAGGCGGAGCGCGCGCAGCUGCUGCGCCACGAGGAGGAGCUCGCGCAGCGCAUGCGCCACCAGGACGACGAGCUGCGCCGCCGCCAGCAGGAGAACACGCUCUUCGUGCAGGCACAAAGGCUGAAUUCAAUGCUGGACCGUCAAGAACAAGGCAUGUUUGAUCAUCAGCAACCAAUGGUAUCGGUGUUUAGCUAGAGACGUUUCUGGAUUUCAAAGUGGCUCGCAAAGACAACGAUCGCACACCUCAUAGCUUCAACGUAUCCCUGUUGUAUGCGGAGCGGUUGAAAAUUAUUAGACGUGAAAGGGGAAGAAAUUUCAAUGUUAAACUCUUGAGCUUGAAGAAUGUAUUUACUGUGUUCUUAGCUCCGGAAUCGUUAGUCCUCAAAAUAUACUAAAAAUAAUAUUUGAUGUGUAAUUCAUAACUCUUAUUAAAUAGCAAGAAUAUCUAAUUUAAAAAACUAUAUGUGUGAAGCAACUGAUAUAAAAUAUUAAAUAUAAUAUUUUAAAAUAUCUUACAUUUCGAUGAAUUAAUCUUAUUCUAAUGCAUAGUGUGCGUAACAUAAUUUAACAAGUUAGAAUUUUAACCAUAUUUGUACCGUCGAUGUAAAGUUAACUGAUUAUGACAACACAUUAAAACUUGUGAGUCAUAAAUUUACACAAAAUUUAUAGUAAUUUUUAUAUUCUCUAAGCACAUUGUGUAAUAUGUAACACUUUGCUGUAGCAUAACUUGUUCAUUAAAUUUUUAAAUUUUCAUUCUCUUUUAGUUUAGUUUUCGUGGUAUUUAUAGUUAUAUAACAUUUUAUUAUAAUGUUAGUUAUUCCUUACCCUUAAAACUAAACGAAACCUUAAUACUAGGAAACAAUAUCUCUUUUAACAUUAAAUACAACAGAUCAAAACCCCUCCCUUCAAAAUUCUGCACCUUCGGAGUUAAGAGCGCUAUCAGUUAGAACUGGCAAAAAGUGACGCAAAA